rnacentral:lncRNA from 1 species
GUUCCUUCCUGUGUGACCUUAAGCAGGUCACUUACUUUCUCUGUGCCUCAAUUUACUUGUUAAAGAAAUGAGGAUGAAAAUGAGAUCCAACUAGGGGGGCCUUUGAAGUCCCUUCACUUUCCUCUCAUGUGAUGACUACCAUUUCUUUGAACAAUAAUCACCAAUAUGUUACUUUACUAUUUUCAAAAUGUUCUAUACAUAUUCCAUGAUGAUGAUGAUGAUGAUGAUUGUAGCUAGAAUUUAAAUAGCACUUUAUAAUUUGCCAAGUGCUAAACAAUAUUUUAUUUCAUCCUUAGAAAAACCUGCAAGGUCAGUACAAAUGUUAUCCUUAUUUUCUAGAUGACACAGUGGAGACAGAGGUUAAUUGGCUUGCUCAAGGCUAUAAAAUUAGUAAGAGCAUGAGGUUGAAUUUGAACUCAUAUCUUCAUUAUUUGAGGUACACUGCUCUAUCUACUGUGCAAUUAACCCUCUCAUUUGAUCCUUUCAACAUACCUGGGAGGGUUUCUUUUAUCCUGACUUUACAGGACAUUAGGAACAGGUAAACCAAUUUGGUUAGGAGGAAGCCUGAAGGAGCCAUUGAUAAGGAGCAGAGAAAGAUUUAGAGCUACAAAGAGCCUUAAGAAACCUUGAAGACCAAAUCCAUCAUUUUACAAAAGAGAACAUAGAGGUUGAGAGAUGGUAAAUGAUUAGUCUCAAGUCAUACAGCUAGUAAGUGUAUGAGGCUAGAUUUUAACUCAGUCUUCCUGACUCCAAGCCUUGAAUACCAUCCACAGUGCCACCUAGUCUCCAAAACAAAAAUGGUGGGCUGAGGCUAGUUGAAGAGAAGAGUCAUAGUUUGGUGGAAAGAGAAUGGUCUUAGAAUUGGAAGAAAUGAGUCUGAGUUACAGCUUAACAAUUAAGUAAGGUGAGGCCAUUUAUUCUACUUCUUUAUCCUUUGCUCUUCCAAUUAAAAACUACCAACAAUAAUACUGAUAAUGACCUUUUCUUAAGGAAUGCUACCUGAGAUAAAAGAGUAUGCCAA